GAUGAACGCUGGCGGCGUGCCUAAUACAUGCAAGUCGAGCGAACAGACGCGGAGCUUGCUCCUCUGACGUUAGCGGCGGACGGGUGAGUAACACGUGGAUAACCUACCUCUAAGACUGGGAUAACUUCGUGAAACCGGAGCUAAUACCGGAUAAUAUAUUGAACCGCAUGGUUCAAUAGUGAAAGACGGUUUUGCUGUCACUUAUAGAUGUAUCCGCGCCGCCUUAGCUAGUUGGUAAGGUAACGGCUUACCAAGGCAACGAUGCGUAGCCGACCUGAGAGGGUGAUCGGCCACACUGGAACUGAGACACGGUCCAGACUCCUACGGGAGGCAGCAGUAGGGAAUCUUCCGCAAUGGGCGAAAGCUUGACGGAGCAACGCCGCGUGAGUGAUGAAGGUCUUCGGAUCGUAAAACUCUGUUAUUAGGGAAGAACAAAUGUGUAUGUAACUAUGAACGUAUUGACGGUACCUAAUCAGAAAGCCACGGCUAACUACGUG
rnacentral:rRNA from 1 species